rnacentral:rRNA from 1 species
UACGUAGGGUGCAAGCGUUAAUCGGAAUCACUGGGCGUAAAGCGCACGUAGGCGGCUUUUUAAGUCAGGGGUGAAAUCCUGGAGCUCAACUCCAGAACUGCCUUUGAUACUGAGAGGCUCGAGUCCGGGAGAGGUGAGUGGAACUGCGAGUGUAGAGGUGAAAUUCGUAGAUAUUCGCAAGAACACCAGUGGCGAAGGCGGCUCACUGGCCCGGUACUGACGCUGAGGUGCGAAAGCGUGGGGAGCAAACAGG